AGAACAUUCAGAUCAAUGACCUGAAUAAAGCAGAUCGAUCAUUCACCGUGGGACGGCUGCACCCUGUGAAGCAGAUCAAAUUUACAAAAUCUGUAGCAUUAUUGGCACUCCAAAAUCAUUAUAAGGACUCCAGCUUGCAGCAUCUAUCCAUUUUUUCCUCGGGAAAUAAUACAGAUAUUACUGCCUUGAUUGAUCUGGUGUGGACAUGACUUAAGAUGGUAUGGCGUACCUUGCUCUCGUUCAUGAUUUGGAGUCUCCGCCUUUUUUUGUUGACGGGCGAUCCGCUGCUUGUGUAGGUCUUUAAAUGGGGUAUGCCCAUCCGGCGGAGAUUCUGAUGAAUUCUCUUGAUAUAUCAUCUGCUAGGAGUAUUGAGAGCCACGUAU